rnacentral:rRNA from 1 species
CCUACGGGAGGCAGCAGUGAGGAAUAUUGGUCAAUGGGCGAGAGCCUGAACCAGCCAAGUCGCGUGAGGGAGUACUGCCCUAUGGGUUGUAAACCUCUUUUGUCGGGGAGCAAAAGCCGGACGUGUCCGGCUGUGAGAGUACCCGAAGAAAAAGCAUCGGCUAACUCCGUGCAAGCAGCCGCGGUAGUAGGGGGAUGCGGGUGUUAACCGGUUUUUUUGGGUUUUAAGGGUGCGCAGGGGGAUUUUUAAGUCAGCGGGAAAAUCGUGGGGUUCAACCCCCUCCCGCAGUUGAAACUGGGGAUCUAGAGUGUGCGAGAGGUAUGCGGAAUGCGUGGUGUAGCGGUGAAAUGCAUAGAUAUCACGCAGAACCCCGAUUGCGAAGGCAGCAUACCGGUGCACAACUGACGCUCAGGCACGAAAGCGUGGGUAUCGAACAGGAUUAGAUACCCGGGUAGUC